ensembl:snoRNA
AUCCUUUUCUGUUUCAUAAGCAUGAUGACUGGCUUGAAACACAGUUGUGGGACAAGAGCCUCCCUUCAAACCUUGUUAUGGUGUUGGUACAUUACCCGUAAGAAC